UUAGGUCUUGAUAUGUGUUGGACCAGUCUGGGUGGAGGCUUUCUCUCCCGCAAAUAGGAGUCGAGUCUAAUUCUCAAAGCAUAACUACCACCCCCACCUGGAAUUGGGGACUAGGAUCACUCUAAUUAUCUUCAAUCUACAUCCAAUAAAUAUGUUGCCCUCUCACUCUAACAUCAGUCUCAUAUGCCCCUCUUCCACAUGUCACUAAAUAAGAGAUAUGAAGAAAAUUGACGACGAGUCUUUAAACUUAGUCUCUUCUAUCUUUCCUUUUCUCUUCUUUUAUAUAUGUACUAAAAACACCAACUAUAAUUGAGUUCUUAUCUAUCAAUUUUACCUUAGAAUAGAUGACCAAUUUGCAAUUAUUCAAUUGUUACAUUGUCAAUUCUGGAAUCCUUACAACAAUAUCCAAUUGGGUUUCUUGUUGGUGUGGCUUUGACUGUGCCCUUUUUGCGUUGUUGGAUCCUAGUUCAAGAAUAGGCGAAGGAUACUUCUGUGUAGUUUGAUAAUAAGUCUCUGAACUCUACAUUUUGAAAAAUUAUAAAGUUACUGUGUCUUUUUAUGCAUCCUUAUCAGAAUUGGGGAACGCCCUUGUACUGCUUAAUCAUUUUGAUAUUAAUGAUCUUUUAUUUUGACAUGUAAAUCAAUCAUACCGUAAAAAUAAAAAUAAAAAAUAAGAGUGUGUCUUCUUCUUCUAAUCCAUCUUGCUGGUUAUUGUUUGUUU
rnacentral:lncRNA from 1 species